AGCAGCCGCCGCGGUAAUACAGAGGGUGCGAGCGUUAAUCGGAUUUACUGGGCGUAAAGCGUGCGUAGGCGGCUUCUUAAGUCGGAUGUGAAAUCCCUGAGCUUAACUUAGGAAUUGCAUUCGAUACUGGGAAGCUAGAGUAUGGGAGAGGAUGGUAGAAUUCCAGGUGUAGCGGUGAAAUGCGUAGAGAUCUGGAGGAAUACCGAUGGCGAAGGCAGCCAUCUGGCCUAAUACUGACGCUGAGGUACGAAAGCAUGGGGAGCAAACAGGAUUAGAUACCCCUGUAGUCCCUGUCUCUUAUAA
rnacentral:rRNA from 1 species